rnacentral:rRNA from 1 species
AUGCCGUUUGGACUGACGAACGCGCCGGCAACGUUCCAGUACCUUAUGAAUGCAAUCUUCGCCAAGUACAUGCGUAAAUUCGUUAUUAUAUUCCUGGAUGACAUUUUGAUCUUCAGUGAAACUCUGGACGAGCACCUGGAACAUCUUCACCUUGUUCUCGCUCUGCUUCGGGAGCACCAACUGUUUGCGAAGGAAUCCAAAUGCUCGUUCGCGCAAGACAACAUCUCCUACCUGGGCCACAUCAUCUCCAAGCAAGGCGUAGCCACGGACCCAGAGAAGACACAAGCAAUGGUGGCAUGGCCGGUUCCUGCAACUGCCACUGAGCUCCGCGGCUUCCUCGGCCUCACCGGCUACUACCGCAAGUUCAUUGCGCACUACGGCAUCAUUGCCAAGCCACUGACAAGUCUAUUGACCAAGAAGGGCUUUGAGUGGACAGAAAAAGCUCAGGUGGCAUUCGAUCUCCUCAAGCGCGCCAUGGUGACCGCGCCAGUGCUUGCGCUCCCAGAUUUUGCACGCCCGUUU